UGAUGUAUGUAUGGAUUUCUUCUUAUGAACUAGUCUGCCAAUGCUUUGUCAAUGCUAGCUAAUGAAUCCGUGGGUUCGAAGUUCAGCAACUGGCCAUUGCUAUACGACUUCGUAAUCUGUGUUUUCAUGGCAGAGUACGCAGAAGUCUAUUCGUCAUCACAUAGUGUAUUUAGUCCAAUUAUUCCAUUUACCUUUUUAUAGGUUGAUAGGGAAGUUUACUUAGUUUAUAUUUUAUCUCCUAUUUCAUAGUAUGUUAAACCUUGACCGUUGAUGGUAAAUAUUCUAGUGUACACGUAUUUAUCAAUCAAUGCUUUGUUUUUCCCUAUACAUCGUAGGUUUAUUUAAUUCAGUAUUGAGGGUGUUUCGACAAAUUAAUUGUUUCUUUUUAUUUCAUUCCCUCUUCUUUCCUGAGGCAUUAGUUUUGUCAUUUAGAUUCAGGGAUAUUUCCUGGAUAAUUCUAUGUAUGCGAGAGCGCAUGAAUCUACAGUUUUAUUCAAAAUUGGUUGCUCGUUCUCGUUAUAUUUUUUUUCUAUCAUGUAUCAUGGUGUCAUAGACCUUGUCAGUUCACCAUUUAGAUUUUAUUAUUACAAUUGGUACGUUAUCUGUAUCUCUUAUUCCCAUGCAUCUAUUGUAGCUACAUGCUAUAGCUAGUGAACAACAACACGUACCAAUUUUUGUUAGUCAACGACUUACUUUAGUCGAUAGACCUAAUUUAAUUUAUUUAGUAUUAGUGAGAAUUGGUACACAAAUCUUCCUGAUCGUUCUUCUUUGGAUAUGCUCUUAUAAAUCUGGUGUCCAUUGAUAGUCCGAUUUUGGAUAAAGCGUCCGAGUCCUCACUUAUUUUGUUUAUUUAGUUGUAUAGGCUCGUAUACCAGUUGUGGUUGUACAUAGGCCUAAUUAAUUUAUGUGAUUUAGUAUUGGUUGAUUUAGUAUUGGUGCGAAUUGGUCCAUAAAUCUUCCAGGUCGUCCUUCUAUGGAUAUGCUUUAUGAAUCUGGUGUCCAUUGAUAGUCCGACUUUGGAUUAAGUGUCCGAUUCCACAUUUAUUUUGAUUAAUGAGUUUUAGAUAACUUUGAUAUGCUUACUAUUUGUAUUAUUUGGCACUGGUGAGAAUUGUUCCAUAAAUAUUCCUGAUUGUUCUUCUCUGGAUAUGCUAUUAUGAAUCUGGUGUCCAUUGGUAGUUCAAUUUUGGAUUAAGUGUUCGAUUCUUCACUGAUUUUAGUUUUGAUUUCUUUUGUCAUACUUUAGUAUAUUUACUUGUGUUAUGGUGCGAAUUGGCUCAUACCUUGGCCUGGUUGUUCGUCCUUGGAUAUACCCUCUAUAAAUUUGAUGUCCAUGGAUAGUUCAAUUUUGGAUUUAGUGCCAGUUCGACAUUUAUUUGUCAUUAUGAACUUUAGUAUAUUAUUUAGCUUAUGUUAAGGCUUUCAGACAAAAUGUCGAUGACAUUUUAAUAUGACUUCAAGUCAUCUUUUGCGAUUCAUAGUUUUGGGUUAGUGAUCAUCCUUCUUUCCCUUGAUCCUUAAUUUGUGGUUACUCAUAGUCUUGCGGAUCACCGUAGAAUGAUAGAUUAUUACCACUUAGUUAUGAUAAUUUGAAUGUAAAAAAAAAAAAAAUUUUUGCUUAAAAAUUUUUUUUUCUCCCAGUAGGAGGGGAUUAUAACAUUCCGUUAACUUCUAAUCAUUUUUAUUGUUAUGCGAUUUAAAUUUUAAUAAUGUUCUGUUAUUAAAUUCUGCUUGAAACAAUUACUAAUAAAUAUUUCGUCUUUCACUGACGUCAUCACAAACCUAUAGAUUAGCAGACCUGUACGUUUUGUACCUUGUGUACUCCUGGCGGUAAACCCAUGAACCGUAUUGUGACAUGGUCGGCGUAGAACGGAAAAUAAGAUAUCACUUUGGUCGGAGCCUUCAACCGAAUAAAUACCUAGUGGCAGAUAACCUAUCCACGUAAAAGUGGCGAAUAUUUCAUUCUUGUUUCAAGUCAUAGUAUUAUUUUGAAAAGAAAUUAUCCAAGUUUAUUACGUAUGUGUUUAGUGGGCUGAAGAAACGAGGUUGGAGGUUCGCAGCAGUGAUUUGUGGUUUAUCUGCCACUGGGGAAAAUCUUUUAACUACUCCUACCACCUGAGAAGGACUGCUUUUCGACCAAGUCACCUAGGGGACAAGUACUAGAGGAACAUGUAAUUUUUGUUCUUCAUUAUCCUGCAUUUUGGAGAAUUGCCGUGUUACGGUUGACUGCGUAGCACCAUUCUGUGCUUAAGACUUUACUGAGAAGUAGUAAGGAAAACUUGUGGGGACAAUAUCAGGUCAAUCGGGUUUGUUUCGGGAACUUUUUAUAUUUAACAGUGCAAUAGUUAUCUACCUAUACCAGUACACUUAUACACUUAUUUUUUUAUAAUAUCCAGAACCUUUAAGUAAUUAACAUACACAUAAUUCAAUAGCGCUCCAACACCUGUAUGUCUCUUUGUAAAAGAGGAUAAUUUGGGCCCAAAUAACCUUUUCCCAUACAGUAGUUCCUUACAUUUAUUUUUUAUUAAUAUUAUUAGACUUGUUUCCCAUAUUUUUCAUAUAACUAUAUAUAUAUUUUAAUAUUAUUAGCUUGUUUCUUGUAAUUUAAAUUCCCAAUCUGUUUGCUUAACUUAAAUUCAUUUGUUAUUAAAUUAAAUUCAAAUCCUAAUCCCUAUCCCUUCAGGAUAGCUAUUAGUUUUACUUGGUCAUUAUUAAAAACCACGAGUCAGAAAAAGGAUCUUUAUCAUCCAGGACUGCGUUGGUUCAGUUAGGUGUUGCCUAUUCAACUCAUUGAGUUAUAUAUAUUUGUAUGGUUCAUCCUAGGUAGGUAUUUUAGUAUUGAUUUCUUGUAGUAUUUAACGUUGCUGUACGUAUUACAAUCGUACGAUUAUUUGGUGAAGGUUGUUGUUUAACCUUAGUGUAAGUUGGGGGUACGCUCCAUAUAAGAGCUACCCCAGUACUAAUGUAAUUAUAGUUGUAUACUCAUAUUCAGAUAAGUAGUUAAGUCAAAUUGUCAUUUUAGAGUUACAUAGGUUGUAUUUUUUCUAACUCAGAGGUUGUCAAUAAUCUAGGUAGUUAUAUUUUAAUAAAUAUUUAUUUGUUUGUA